UGUAGCCACCACUUCCAUGGUAUUAAAAGAAUAAAACAAGAAAUAAAAAUAAUCAAUCAAAAAUUAAUUUUACCAACUCCAGAUAAAAGUGGCGGUCGGUAAUAUCGCAGGGAAAAUCAAUUGAAGCGGUAAAGUAGGUAGAGAAGUUAUCGGGCAGAGAAAUUCGCAGAGUGGGAGGAAAGUUGGAGGGUCACGCGGAGGAUAUAAAUGGAGUUGCUGACCAGUGGAAACUCCAUUCACUGAUCAGACCGAACUCCUGAACUAGAACCCUGAGAGGCCAAGCGCCGUCUCAACUUGAUGAUCCGGUAAAUCACAGGAAGAUCAGGAACCGGUAAAAGUACAUUUUCCAUACUUCGAAAGAUGGAGGCAGAUUUUGAUGGUCACCCCCCUGGAUGUCGGUGCCAGUUACGCGGCCUCCAUUCAACCCCCUUCCACCCUCGAGUUGAUCCUCGAGGAGUAAACCCUAUCUAAUUGAGAGGCGUCCUGUUCUCUCUACAUUUUCGGGCCGGGAAGGAUCAUUGCCCGCGGUUAAUUCACUUAGAAACUUUCGCAAUCAGACCAGCGUUGGUGCACUACGGGCGGCGCUUUUAAUAUAAUUUCAUGGUGAAGUGGAGAAUAUAUAGAAGACAUCGCUGUAUUCGGCAGGGACGUGCAAAACGCCAUAAUACCUCAUAAUCUAUAGAGUGAGCGUUAACAUCUUCCUUUUCAAUGAGAAAUAAAUCUCACGAUAUCCCGUAUUUUUUUGCUGAAUUUCGCGAGAGUUGGCAUCAUUUUUUUUCUCUUCGUAAAAGGGUAUUUUCUAUGACGUUUACAUUUGAUUAUUUGAAAAAAUUACAAGUGUUUUUCUUAGAUCGUAGCUGCCAAAAUAACAUGGAACAAGGAUUAUGCUCAGUCUAAAAUAUAUAAAUCUACUUACACGGAGAGAAAAAUUCGUGAAAAAUUACGCCUGUUCCGUAAUCUGGCAGUUGAAAUAAUAUUCGGUAAAAAUUACGGAACAGUUACGCACUUUCUAGUGAACUUUCAGGAAAAAGUCCAUACAAGUCUCCGUACUUCGAUUGUUCUUCCAAUAAAUUACAUUAAACCUGAACUGAAAUGACGCACUUUUACUGCAGUAAAAUUGGACCAGAAAAAGCCCUUCAACUCCUAUUUUAUUUUUUAUUUCAACCGAUAUCAAAACUGAAAUAUCUUCAAACAAAAUAAUAAUUAAUACUGCAGUAUUUAUUGUUUGCCGUGCAAUCAGUCCUAUAGACCAUCACGAUAUUCAAUCACAGAAACCGUUUGAUUCUCGGUACCAGCGUGGAUAUAUGGAAAAUUGGAUUGAUAAGGGCGGACUGUGUGUAGAGGAAGAGGGUAAAUGAGAGUACGAGUCCAACGAAUACCACUCGUACCACCGACAAACGAGGAUUCGCAAACCUAUGAAGUGUGAAACUCGUCGAGCUGUGAUUUAUGAAUGCAUUCACCUGGAUGAUGAGCAUGACAGUGAGUCCAACGUUGAGUGUCAUUUGUAGGAGACCAGGUACUCCGGCUCGUGUGGUUCCAAU